ensembl:lncRNA
UUAUUAUGUGAGCAGGAUUUCGAGUGCACAUUUUUCUGCCUCAGUGCUGCUCAUAAUCGCCUCUGAAUCAGGAGUCUGUACGAUUAUGAAAGAUGUUACAACUGUUCUGUCACCACCAUGUUUUUUCAUACUCUUGCAAACAGAGGUUUCAUACACAAGCCAUGUGAAUAUGCAGUAUAGCGAUAGCGAGUGAAGUGUACACAACUUCACAGAUUUCAGUGUUUGAACAUAUAAUGUGUUAGAAAAUACUUCCGGUUUCACUUUUGGGAGCAAAAUUGAUUUGUCACAAAUAUCUCAAGAUUGGAUUAAUCCUGCUGCACAUGUAUAUCCACGUAAUGAAGUUGCAUGUAAAGAGAAAACCAGCAUGUUAAACUUGUUCCAGCUGUCCUCAACUAGCAUGUCUGAGUAUACUUGAAGAGAAGUAUACUGUACUAGAAUUAUAUUAAUUGUCCAGUAAGGUGAAGAAAGAAAAAAGAAAAGUCAACACAUGGAAAAAUGUGUAAAACACAACACGAGAAGUGUUUAAAAUGUACAUGUGGUCCAUGUGGAGCAAAGAUAUGUGAAAUUCUAAUGUAUUCUAAUUAUGUAUGCUAAAUACAGUUACUAAAGUAUGCUAUAUUUAUGCAAGGGCAUUCCCCGAGUGCAAAUACACACUACAAAUAAACAUGCCCAAUUCUCACUCAAAGAAUUUCCAAAUAAAUAUGCCCAAUCCAUCCUGCAUGAAUUUCUCAUAAGCCACCACCCUCCACCCUGAUCUAUUGCUUAUACUUUCACUGCUGCAGCUAAGAGUCGAAGCUGUGUGUUAUUGUCAUUUCUCCAUGAGUUACAUGUUUUAUUUAGAUCAAUUAUUAAGCAGAUAAGUGACUUAGCUUGUAUGGAUGUUUUUGAGAUAUCAUAGCUUGGCAUCUCCGAGCAGUUGGUGGGCUUGUACGUUCGACGGAUGGCAUUUCACUUUAUAAACACGGGCAGGCACUCACAGCAAGAAAAGCAGCAGCUACACAGCAAACCCAGCCUUAGAAGGGCAUUAUGCCCCUCGCUGAGACACUGUCCUGACAAAGAGGAUUAAUCUAUACCAGCAUAACUUUGUACUUACAUCAACCCAAACAAUGCUGCAGACUUGCUCUUGUAGUUCAGUAUUUUUGAGAAGAAAUAAGAGCAAUCCUUCACGUACACUGGGCUGUUAAUAAUGAAGACGAAUCUGAAGAUCAUUACAUGGAUGAGAAGAAGGCUGAACCAAUGUGUUUUCUGGCAGAGGAUGAAGACCUGCUGCUACACUAAUUACAGUAAUGUGCUUUUGUGCUCGUGCCAAAGGCAGCUGUAAGAUGGAGCUGAAGAAGGAGUUCACUGCAGGUAAACUAGAAGUGUGACAGUGAUUUUUUUUUCUACCUGCAAUCUGCUGUUCCUCACACAAAACAACAUGACAGCAAUGGCUUUUUACUCUUGCUUCUCUGUUCUCACCUGAAACACUGGCAUGUUAACAAGUGAAACAACUUUCCCUGAUUAAGACAUUCCAGUGAAGCAUAGAGAACAAUUUCUAAAAACUCACUUUUCAUGGCUUCUCAUGACUUGUUAUCUCAUCAGCUAGUCACUCCAAGCAUGCAUUAAAGGAGGCUUUCUUCUGUCAAAAAACAGACGUGUAACACAAUGAG